AUUCUUCGGAUGAAGUAUGAUAUGACUGAGUGGCGGACGGGUGAGUAACGCGUGAGUAACCUGCCCUUCAGAGGGGGAUAGCGUUUGGAAACGAACGGUAAUACCGCAUAAUGUAUUUUGACCGCAUGAUCGAAAUACCAAAGAUUUAUCGCUGAAGGAUGGACUCGCGUCUGAUUAGGUAGUUGGUGGGGUAACGGCCUACCAAGCCGACGAUCAGUAGCCGGACUGAGAGGUUGAUCGGCCACAUUGGAACUGAGACACGGUCCAAACUCC
rnacentral:rRNA from 1 species